GACGAACGCUGGCGGCGUGCCUAAUACAUGCAAGUCGAACGAGAGCGCCUGGUGCUUGCACUGGUCAAUCUAGUGGCGAACGGGUGAGUAACACGUGGGUAACCUGCCCAUCAGAGGGGGAUAACAUCCGGAAACGGAUGCUAAAACCGCAUAGGUCUUCGAGCCGCAUGGCUUGAAGAGGAAAAGAGGCGCAAGCUUCUGCUGAUGGAUGGACCCGCGGUGCAUUAGCUAGUUGGUGAGGUAACGGCUCACCAAGGCCGUGAUGCAUAGCCGACCUGAGAGGGUGAUCGGCCACAUUGGAACUGAGACACGGCCCAAACUCCUACGGGAGGCAGCAGUAGGGAAUCUUCCGCAAUGGACGCAAGUCUGACGGAGCAACGCCGCGUGAGUGAAGAAGGUGUUCGGAUCGUAAAACUCUGUUGUUAGAGAAGAACAAGUGCUAGAGUAACUGUUAGCGCCUUGACGGUAUCUAACCAGAAAGCCACGGCUAACUACGUG
rnacentral:rRNA from 1 species